rnacentral:rRNA from 1 species
GACGAACGCUGGCGGCGUGCUUAACACAUGCAAGUCGAACGGAAAGGCCCCCACUUUUUUGGUGGGGGUGCUCGAGUGGCGAACGGGUGAGUAACACGUGGGUGAUCUGCCCUGUACUUCGGGAUAAGCUUGGGAAACUGGGUCUAAUACCGGAUAGGACCAUGGUUUAGUGUCUCAUGGUGGAAAAAUUAUUGUUUUGGUGCAGGAUGAGCUCGCGGCCUAUCAGCUUGUUGGUGGGGUAAUGGCCUACCAAGGCGUCGACGGGUAGCCGGCCUGAGAGGGUGGACGGCCACAUUGGGACUGAGAUAAGGCCCAGACUCCUACGGGAGGCAGCAGUGGGGAAUAUUGCACAAUGGGCGCAAGCCUGAUGCAGCGACGCCGCGUGGGGGAUGACGGCCGUCGGGUUGUAAACUCCUUUCGUUAGGGACGAAGCCGCACCUUUUUUGGGUGUGGUGACGGUACCUUUGUUAAGAAGCACCGGCUAACUACGUG